AACUUUCUCGCUUUCCGAUUUUACCCUCACCCCGACAGCUCCCAUUCCCCUCGCCCGCUCCUCCGUAAGCUCACUUUUCCCUCGCCAGCCUCUCUACAGCUCACCCAUUCCUCUCGCCGGCGUCGUUUGCGCCCCCCUCUUGUCGGCGUCGGCGCCCCCCCCUCUCGUUGGCGUCGUCCCCGCCUCCCUCUCGUCAGCGUCUCCUAUCCCAUUCCCCUCGCUCACCCACUCCCCUCCAAAGAUGGCAUCGUCGUGUCAAAGAUCACCUUUUUACUCAGGUGGAUCUGCAUCGGCGACUGCUGCGGCGGCGCGGCGAUGAGGUGAGCAAGCUUGUGGGGGAGGGGGGUCGAUGCCCACACAGCAGCUGCGGCGCCGCGGCUCUGCUCCCAUCCGCCCACCUGCACAGCGACCAGCGCGGCGCUGCAGGACCAGCAGCUCGCCUGCGGCGGCGGAGGGGGCCUCUGUGACUCCGGCUGGAUUCACCACCUGCAAGGACGAUUGGAUCCGGCUGGAUUCGCUCAAGGCAGACGACAACGCCAAGGACGACUGGAUCCACGACCUCCCUCCCCUCGACAUGGCCAGCAGUAGCACCGAACAGAGUACUCCAUUGCUGGUAGGCUUACUCUAUUGCUGGUACUGAAUUUUACAGUAGUCUUACUCCAUUGCUGAACAAAGCAAUAGUACUAACAGACAACAAAGCUUACAGAAAUGCCCCCUCCCCGUUCUUGCUUGUUUAACAUUGCCCUUACAACAACUUCCCGAAGCGCCGCUUGCUUCACCGGUUAAUUUAUUUUCUGCAAAGCUGACCAAGAAGAAAACAUUAAGUACUCACUGAGUAGGAUUCAGUUAAACUUCUUUAAAGUUAACUGAAUUUAUAAGUAUAAAUUCAGUUAAGUUAAGUGUAAACUUAACUACAUUUAUAAGUAUAAAUUCAGUUUAGUUCAGCGAACUUUUAGGUUUUACUCCUGUUUAAUUCAGUUUAUUUCAUGGAGUAAUUUCUUACAGUAAGUUCAGUGAGUAUGUGUUGUUUACUGAAUUUUACAGUAGGUUUAUCUGUAUCUUUCAAAGUUGACUCAUGAGUAGUGUCAGGGAGCUAGCUGGUCAUGAUGCCAGUACAUAUCUGAUGUAAUGGAUGUACUCCUGUUUAUUGUACUUCAUCUACCCCUUUAGAGAAGCUUGUGGAAAAAUUUCCCAAGCACUUAGAGGAGUACUUGGAAGAUGAUGCAGAAAUGCAGAGUACUUCUGGUGGUAGUACUCUGAAAAUUUAGAGUAGAUGAUGUAGUGCGAGAGCUCUCCUCUCCUCUCUUUGAAUUCGGAAACUAAAUUCAGAAACAACUCUGAGAAAUCAAAAAAAAUCAGGAAAACUUUAAGAAAUAAAAAAAAUUCACAAACAACUUUGAGAAAUCCACAAUGGAGUUAUCCACAUCAUCAACAAAUAUAUGGAGUAACAAUAUAUGGAGUAUGGAUUACACUUCACAAGGACUACAAACAUAUGGAUCACAAGCCUCUCCACACAAGCAACUAGCCUCUCCACACAAAGCCUCUGAUCAUAAGCAACUAGCCUCUCCACACAAAGCCUCUGAUCACAAGCAACUAGCCUCUCCACACAAAGCCUCUGAUCACAAGCAACUAGCCUCUCCACACAAAGCCUCUGAUCACAAGCAACUAGCCUCUCCACACAAAGCCUCUGAUCACAAGCAACUAGCCUCUCUUCAGUGUUCAUCUUGUUCCAGAUUCUCUAAGGCAUUGUAAUACACUUCACGAGGGAAAUGGAUGCUAAGAGGUAGAGUUCCUUGCCUUUCAAAUCUUGCUUUGUUCGCAUGCGGAAUUUUGUAAGCAUUUCCUCCUGCAUGAUUCAUUAUUUGCACCAUACAUGUUUGAAGUGUGAGGAAGAUUCUGUUGAGCUUUCCAACUUCAUAGUCAUCAAAUUCUUCCUGGACCCCUUGAAUUAGCUCCGGAAUGGUGGUAGGGGCUCUGCAGUCCGUUAGAGACUCGAGGGAUCUGAAGUAACCAAGGUCAAGAGCGUUCAAGUCGGGAGAAUUUGGGGGCUGUUGCAUCAGUUUGAUGUCCAUACCGGUCUCAGCCACUGCUUGUGCGAACUCAGCAUCAUUAGGCAGAAUGUGUGUCCUUGCGUUGUCCUGUUGGAUGAAGACUGUUUGUCCAACAUCUUCUACAGGUCACACAUUUUUUAUCGCCGGAACAACUUUCUCAAUCAUGUAUUGUCUCAUGACUACUCUGUUCACUAUGAGCGACUUGAUCUCUAGGACUCCUCGUUCUCUAUUUUCACUCCUUCUUUGAGCUGCAACUUCCGUGACGAAAGGCCAAACCCCAAUCUUUCCUGAGAAAGUGACAUUCCCGUCAGUGUCGUAUCUGGGCCUGGCAACUGCUGUGAGAAACAUCACUUUUCCGAUCUUGUUUGGAACUGGUCUUACCGGGUCUUCUUCAUCCGGCAAUAGGUAGUAGUUUCUGUCCCUUUUAGUCAUAAGGAACCACUUUUCAUCGAUAUGCACAAUAUUGUGCAUACUAUUGAAGCUAAUUCUUUCAUUCCCUAGGGUUCUUUGGUCAAGCAUAGACAUGCAGAAUUGAACCCUUUCUCUCUUAUUCUUCUCUUUCAAAGGGGGCUUCACCCUGUUGGAGUGCCUCCUUACCUUUUUUAGCUGGAAUGUCCUGUGUAGCGUGGUCCGACUAACACCCAGUGCAGCAGCAAGUGAUCUUAUGCUUGACCUUCUGUUUAGUGGAACUGUGGGGAUUUGUGAUAGAAAGCCAUCAGCCGCUUUUCUGCCAACUUUUCCUUUUUUCUGGCUUGACAUGUUCACCUCCUGACCAAGAGCAAUCUGUUUAUAAAAGUACCUAGGUGCAUAAAAACUCAGCAAAAUGAUUGCAAAAGCAUUUAACUGAAUUUUUAUGCACCUAGGUGCAUAAAAACUAAGCAAAGUGCUUGCAAAAGCAUUUAACUGAAUUUUUAUGUUAGCUGAAUUUAAAUUCAGUUAACAUGAAGUAUACCUCCUGCUUCUACUUGUGCUGGUUCUUCAUCUUGCAUAUUCACAUUUUCAUCUUGCAUAUUAACAUCUUCUUCUUCUUGUCCGGGUGGAGUGCAGUUUAGAUCCGGGAGAACCAUCUUCGGAGAUGUGCUGUAAUCUUUACUCCUAGUACAACAUGAACAGGUGGAGUAGUUGUUAUUGUUCAUAUGCAAAAGCAUAGUAUAUCCUCUGUUCAUGAAAUGAAUAUGCAAAAUUUCCAAUCAUUGUGUCAUGAAAUGAAUAUGCAAGAGUACUAGAUUAUCAAACAUUGUUUUGACAUAAACUGAUCCUACUGUGCAUAAUGGAGUACUCCAGAUCAUGAGCUUUGUUAGCAUACAUUUAAAUAUUCACACUAGAUCAUGAGCACUUCAUUACUCUUGGAGCAGUUUUGUUGAUGUCAAAUUCGUGCAAACAAUUCAAGCAGUAUUUCUGUCAAUGUAGCUACUCAUGGAGUAAAUUGUAAUAUUGGUGAUAAUUGCUGUCAAUUAAAUUUCCUGGAGUACCUUGUCUUUGUAAUCUUCCUACAGCAGCAUGAACCAAGCCUCUCUCAUAGGAACAGGAACCUGUUGAUUUCUCUGCUGUCAAUUCUCUGUGUCUUUGUAAUCUUCUUGCUGUCAAUUUUCUCUCUUCUCUGUUGAUGUUGCUACUGGAGCCGGAGCUACUCUCCUUCCCUGUAAUCUUCUUGCUGUCAAUUUAAUCUACUCUCCUUCCCUGUAAGCUUCUUGCUGUCAAUUUAAUCUUCUCUGCUUCACUGUAAUCUUCUGCUGACCUUCCCUGUAAUCUUCUCUACUGAUUUCUCUUGAAUUUGCUGCAGCCCGGAACGCAGCGAGCAACAGGAUGCGCUAGGUGUGGAGGAGCUGGGGGCCUGGGCGAGGAGGCGCUGGGGGCUGGAGCGGCGAGGUGCCCAGGGCCGGGAGCGGCGAGGUGCCAAGGGGCCGGAGCGGCGAGGUGCCCGGGGCUGGAGCGGGAGGUGCCCAGGCGCUGGAGCUUUUCCUCGCCCAGGAGCAGGAGGAUUUUGAAUUUGAAAUCCUCUGCAGCUUAGUGGGAUCGCAGGGAAGGCGAUCACAGGGAAGACGAUAGAAGGGGUAGAAAUGACUUUUUGUCACAUAUCGAUGUUGUCGGAAUUCUGGAAAACGCUCUUAUAAUUCGGGACGGAGGGAGUAUUUUCUAAGUAUUUUGAGAAUACCGUAGUUUUUUUUUAAUACCAAAGUUUUAUUUACUGUGAGGUGUUUGACUACCACUGAAAACCGAAGUAAUAAUACUGUAGUAUUUUCAAAACUGUGGUAAUUUGUCACGACCCAAGCACAAGAUGGGACGAACAGACUAAUCAGCACCAAUAUUCAGAUCUAGAUCGGGG
rnacentral:lncRNA from 1 species